GAUGAAGAACGCAGCGAAAUGCGAUAAGUAAUGUGAAUUGCAGAAUUCAGUGAAUCAUCGAAUCUUUGAACGCACAUUGCGCCCGCCAGUAUUCUGGCGGGCAUGCCUGUUCGAGCGUCAUUACAACCCUCAGGCCCCCGGGCCUGGCGUUGGGGAUCGGCGGAAGCCCCCUGUGGGCACACGCCGUCCCUCAAAUACAGUGGCGGUCCCGCCGCAGCUUCCAUUGCGUAGUAGCUAACACCUCGCAACUGGAGAGCGGCGCGGCCAUGCCGUAAAACACCCAACUUCUGAAUGUUGACAUCGAAUCAGGUAGGAAUACCCGCUGAACUUAAGCAUAUCAAUAAGCGGAGGA
rnacentral:misc_RNA from 1 species